GGCAGUGUAGCACAGUGGUAAGGAGUAGGGCUCGUAACCCAGAGUUUGCUGGUUCAAUUCCCCACUAGGACA